ACGAACGCUGGCGGCGUGCUUCACACAUGCAAGUCGAACGGAAAGGCCCUGCUUUUGUGGGGUGCUCGAGUGGCGAACGGGUGAGUAACACGUGAGUAACCUGCCCUUGACUUUGGGAUAACUUCAGGAAACUGGGGCUAAUACCGGAUAGGAGCUCCUGCUGCAUGGUGGGGGUUGGAAAGUUUCGGCGGUUGGGGAUGGACUCGCGGCUUAUCAGCUUGUUGGUGGGGUAGUGGCUUACCAAGGCUUUGACGGGUAGCCGGCCUGAGAGGGUGACCGGCCACAUUGGGACUGAGAUACGGCCCAGACUCCUACGGGAGGCAGCAGUGGGGAAUAUUGCACAAUGGGCGGAAGCCUGAUGCAGCAACGCCGCGUGCGGGAUGACGGCCCUCGGGUUGUAAACCGCUUUCGCCUGUGACGAAGCGUGAGUGACGGUAAUGGGUAAAGAAGCACCGGCUAACUACGUG
rnacentral:rRNA from 1 species